rnacentral:rRNA from 1 species
GGGUUGUGAGGUUAAGCGACUAAGCGUACACGGUGGAUGCCCUGGCAGUCAGAGGCGAUGAAGGACGUGCUAAUCUGCGAUAAGCGUCGGUGAGGUGAUAUGAACCGUUAUAACCGGCGAUUUCCGAAUGGGGAAACCCAGUGUGUUUCGACACACUAUCAUUAACUGAAUCCAUAGGUUAAUGAGGCGAACCGGGGGAACUGAAACAUCUAAGUACCCCGAGGAAAAGAAAUCAACCGAGAUUCCCCCAGUAGCGGCGAGCGAACGGGGAGGAGCCCAGAGCCUGAAUCAGUGUGUGUGUUAGUGGAAGCGUCUGGAAAGGCGUGCGAUACAGGGUGACAGCCCCGUACACAAAAAUGCACAUAUUGUGAGCUCGAUGAGUAGGGCGGGACACGUGGUAUCCUGUCUGAAUAUGGGGGGACCAUCCUCCAAGGCUAAAUACUCCUGACUGACCGAUAGUGAACCAGUACCGUGAGGGAAAGGCGAAAAGAACCCCGGCGAGGGGAGUGAAAAAGAACCUGAAACCGUGUACGUACAAGCAGUGGGAGCCUCUUAAUGGGGUGACUGCGUACCUUUUGUAUAAUGGGUCAGCGACUUAUAUUCUGUAGCAAGGUUAACCGAAUAGGGGAGCCGAAGGGAAACCGAGUCUUAACUGGGCGUUAAGUUGCAGGGUAUAGACCCGAAACCCGGUGAUCUAGCCAUGGGCAGGUUGAAGGUUGGGUAACACUAACUGGAGGACCGAACCGACUAAUGUUGAAAAAUUAGCGGAUGACUUGUGGCUGGGGGUGAAAGGCCAAUCAAACCGGGAGAUAGCUGGUUCUCCCCGAAAGCUAUUUAGGUAGCGCCUCGUGAAUUCAUCUCCGGGGGUAGAGCACUGUUUCGGCAAGGGGGUCAUCCCGACUUACCAACCCGAUGCAAACUGCGAAUACCGGAGAAUGUUAUCACGGGAGACACACGGCGGGUGCUAACGUCCGUCGUGAAGAGGGAAACAACCCAGACCGCCAGCUAAGGUCCCAAAGUCAUGGUUAAGUGGGAAACGAUGUGGGAAGGCCCAGACAGCCAGGAUGUUGGCUUAGAAGCAGCCAUCAUUUAAAGAAAGCGUAAUAGCUCACUGGUCGAGUCGGCCUGCGCGGAAGAUGUAACGGGGCUAAACCAUGCACCGAAGCUGCGGCAGCGACACUAUGUGUUGUUGGGUAGGGGAGCGUUCUGUAAGCCUGUGAAGGUGGCCUGUGAGGGUUGCUGGAGGUAUCAGAAGUGCGAAUGCUGACAUAAGUAACGAUAAAGCGGGUGAAAAGCCCGCUCGCCGGAAGACCAAGGGUUCCUGUCCAACGUUAAUCGGGGCAGGGUGAGUCGACCCCUAAGGCGAGGCCGAAAGGCGUAGUCGAUGGGAAACAGGUUAAUAUUCCUGUACUUGGUGUUACUGCGAAGGGGGGACGGAGAAGGCUAUGUUGGCCGGGCGACGGUUGUCCCGGUUUAAGCGUGUAGGCUGGUUUU